UUCUGGUCAUAUCUUGAUGGAACAAAGUGAAAAGACAAAUUCGACUUCUGAUCAACCUUUUCUGGAUCUCAUGGUUAGAUUACUCACAGUAACAAUUGAGAAUAAUUUGACUGUUAAUCAUCAAGAUGCAAUUCAAGUCAUUCUGGCACCGGCAGUAUAACAGAUUGUUAUUUGGUUGGAUGAACACCAGAAUCGAUUCAAAAUUAAAACUAACUGAUCAUCUUGAAAAUGGUUUCCUCUUCACCAAGCAAAACGGAUAAAAUGGGCAUCAUCAUUCAUUCACAACAAAACAAUAUCAUUCCUUGUAUCUAGACCAAGUUGAAUCAAUUGAAUUGAUAAAUGUUUGAUUAAUCCAAUUAAAUGAUUCAAAGGACGUUUUCUCGUUUCAUUCAUGGCAUUUCCACUGUUCCCACCAUGAUUCAACUCCCAGUGUUCAUCUGUCUGCUGAUUAUGCAUUUCACUUGAUACAUGCUGAAAAAACACUCUCAAUUCAAUAAUCUUCAAGGCCUCAAUAUUUCAUCUGUUAUUUUUGAUAAGCAACUUGGAAGAGACGCUUUUUUUACCAACAUUAUUGUUAUUAUCAUUUGGAUUUCUCCACUCUACUGUACGAAUCAUUGAACCAUCACGAUGAUGCUAUUAUUAUUUGGUCUCUUUCGUUCUCGCAGUGAAAUUGUAAUCAAAAUGAAGAGGAUGGUGAAGAUGCUGAUGGAUAAAAGGGAAAAGAUAUGAUACCUUAAUAAGAUGGUGAACAUUGACAAAGAAACGAACGAAAUGAGGAUUUUUUUCCCUUGCAUCUCUGUUUGUCACAAUUGUUAUUCUUUUCUUCCACUUAUCAUUAAUUGAUCACCAUCAACAACUUCAACAAUAACAUCGUAUUCCUCAAUUUUUUAUUGUUAUCUUUUGGAUUGGCAAAAAUUAUCGUCAUCUUUGGCUCAUCUGAAAACACAAACCUUUUCAAAAUUUCAAUCCAAAAUUGAAUUGAGUUUUUUUCUUCAUUUUUCAUUGUAUCACAUUGUCACCCUUUUAUAUUUCAAUUUCAAUUUUGGCUUAUUGAUUUUCUAGUCUCAUCAAUUGAUGAACUGACUCUUUGCCUCUAUUGACUUGAAACUUGAAAGAAAAGCUCAAUUCAAGGUAACAAGCAACAUUACCACCUUUUGUUCAGAUAAUUGAUCCUGAUUAAUCAAAUAUAUAUAUAUCAAUAUUUGAAUGCAGUUGAGAGCAUUGAAAGUGAAAAAUAUUUUUCAUGCAAAAGGAAAAAGUUGUUUUCCUGAAAAGCAAGAAAAAAACUAUUAGUGAACGAAUGAGCCUUUUCAGGAACAUUUUGUUCAUCAUUUCUCAUUUACAGUUGGUUGAUUUCAAAUGCACUUGAACACAACGAAACAUUAUAUUAUUAUUAGAUGAUGAAAAAUAAAAAACUCAUAAAGUUAAAAAACUACUCUUUUUUUGCUUCUUUCAUUUGCUGUUGUUGUCAACCUAACAUUAAAUUUUCAAAGAAACUUUCAAUCCAAUUGUUUUCUUCCAUUUCUUUUCACCAUCUUUUUCACGCUUAUCCAUCAAAAGGUUAUCCAAAUGAUCUUAACUAUUAUAAUAAUAAUGAUCACCACCAUUGACAUCAUUUUAUCCUUGUUUGAUCAAAAAUUCCAAUAUAAUUUCAAUAUUAUCCAAGGCAUUGUCAGAUGAACAUUAUCUUUCCCAUAUAAAUGCCUUUUGAAUCAUUCCCAUUAAAUUGACUCUUAAGUGACUUUUAAUUCAAAACACUUUAAAUUCAAACUUAAUUGCCAACCAUUUCAAUACCAAGAAUAAACAAGAAGCUAAUGAAUUGCUCUGAAAAGUGAAGUCUCUGGAAACGGAUUUUACAAUUAUCUCUAUCCUCUGACCUUUGAAAAAUGAGCAAAAAAAUCCAAUUUCACCAAAUGAACCCAAAAUGACCAAAGUUUAAAAUGACACGAAUUGGUGAACCCAAACUGGUUCUGUCUUUGAAACCUUACCUUGUGACAUGAUUAUGGUUAAAUGAUGGUCAACUGUUGACACAUGAGAUGAUUUGAUUGACGAUCCAGUGUUGAUAUUACCAGAAAUGGUCAACUUUUCAAGCAAUCAAUUAUUUAUUACCUUGGCUUCACAUCACCCUGGUAAUCAUAGGAACAGCCAAGUCAAAAAGAUAGGAUAAGUUGAAUGUUUUCAAAAGUGUUUCUGGUGAAAUGUUUUU